rnacentral:rRNA from 1 species
UUCGACACACUAUCAUUAACUGAAUCCAUAGGUUAAUGAGGCGAACCGGGGGAACUGAAACAUCUAAGUACCCCGAGGAAAAGAAAUCAACCGAGAUUCCCCCAGUAGCGGCGAGCGAACGGGGAGGAGCCCAGAGCCUGAAUCAGCAUGUGUGUUAGUGGAAGCGUCUGGAAAGGCGCGCGAUACAGGGUGACAGCCCCGUACACAAAAGCGCAUGUGCUGUGAGCUCGAUGAGUAGGGCGGGACACGUGGUAUCCUGUCUGAAUAUGGGGGGACCAUCCUCCAAGGCUAAAUACUCCUGACUGACCGAUAGUGAACCAGUACCGUGAGGGAAAGGCGAAAAGAACCCCGGCGAGGGGAGUGAAAAAGAACCUGAAACCGUGUACGUACAAGCAGUGGGAGCACCCUUUGGGGUGUGACUGCGUACCUUUUGUAUAAUGGGUCAGCGACUUAUAUUCUGUAGCAAGGUUAACCGUAUAGGGGAGCCGGAGGGAAACCGAGUCUUAACCGGGCGUUAAGUUGCAGGGUAUAGACCCGAAACCCGGUGAUCUAGCCAUGGGCAGGUUGAAGGUUGGGUAACACUAACUGGAGGACCGAACCGACUAAUGUUGAAAAAUUAGCGGAUGACCUGUGGCUGGGGGUGAAAGGCCAAUCAAACCGGGAGAUAGCUGGUUCUCCCCGAAAGCUAUUUAGGUAGCGCCUCGUGAAUUCAUCUCCGGGGGUAGAGCACUGUUUCGGCUAGGGGGCCAUCCCGGCUUACCAACCCGAUGCAAACUGCGAAUACCGGAGAAUGUUAUCACGGGAGACACACGGCGGGUGCUAACGUCCGUCGUGAAGAGGGAAACAACCCAGACCGCCAGCUAAGGUCCCAAAGUCAUGGUUAAGUGGGAAACGAUGUGGGAAGGCCCAGACAGCCAGGAUGUUGGCUUAGAAGCAGCCAUCAUUUAAAGAAAGCGUAAUAGCUCACUGGUCGAGUCGGCCUGCGCGGAAGAUGUAACGGGGCUAAACCAUG